CCAACCCGCAGCUGGGCCCUCCACCUCACUGGGGGGAGGGCGCGUAGGGUGCAGUGGGUGACACACAGCAUAGCUCCAGGCCACCACGUCUGUUUCCCCUCCAGGGUCCAGCAUGGGCCCCUGGGGCUGGACUCCAGCUCCCCAGCCAGUGCCGUGCGCAGGCAGGGGUCUGCAUCUCUCCUCUGAGCCGGGGGGUGUCCAAGCCGUCCUCUGCAUGAGCCCCAGCAAAGCCGCUCGAAGCAGCCCCACCUGCGCUCUCUUUGAGCCGCGCCAUGUGCUUAUGUGCCCCCUUCGUACAGCUUGGGGGUCCCAGGAGCAGGCACUGGGGUUUCCUGCCCAGGGCGUGUGGCCUUUCCCCUGGGAAUUUCUGCUCGGACGGGAAGGAGUCGCUGGAAGGGGCAAGCCAGGUGGCCGCAUGCCAAAGGGCGUGGGGACGGACUGCUUCGCCUGCAACCUUUGAGCCCACAGCUCCGCUGGAUGCUUGGGAGCCUGGCACGUUUAUUACCGUUGGCCAGGCAGCGCCCAGAGCCGCUCCCUGCACUGGAGGUCCAGGCUGGGCUCGGCAGCUCCAUGGGACAGAGGGGAAGGGAAUCGGCGCUGCAGCUUUCCUGGUGGCUCGGUAGUGCCCUCCCGCUCGCUCGGUAAGAAGGGUCCCUUCAACUGCCCCGUCGUGCUGGGGAACGGCGCUCAAAUGCCAGCUUGUCCUUCCGUCCCCUCCUCCCUCCCUUCCAACAAUCAGUGGCGCAAGAGCCUUCUCCUUUGCAAUCCCCUACCAAAGGCAACAGAUGCCUCGUUUCUCCCUCUCGCCACGGCCACGCUCCCCCUACCCGGGCCCUUCGCCGGCUCAGCUCCCUCCCUGCAGCAUCCCACGGGCUCUGCUUGUUUUAGAGACGUGCUAGGAAAGACUUGGGCCACCCACCUCAAUUCUCGGACGGAAGGAGGGGGUGGUCAGGAGGGAUCAAAGGAGAAAAACUUUGGGGGGGAACGUCUGAGAGGGGGGAUCGACCCCCUGUGCAAAAGGCCUGGGGUGACAGCCAUAGUCCACAUCUAUGAUAGGACCGUUCGGAGCAUGACCCUGUUUCAGGGAGACUCUAACAGAGGUUUCCCUGACACCCCAGGCCAGCCUCAGGGACCCCGAUGGCCAAGUGCUGCUGGAUGGAGGAAGAGGGGUCUCUCUUCAAGGGGCUGCCCCCGCUGCCACCGGUGCUCUGCACCCCCCACACACAUGGCCCUCUGGCGGCAGGGGAGCGCCAGGAGGCGCUGGAAGAGCGUGGGACAAGCAGCCAAAGGGACAGUGCUCCGGGCUCCAGCCUCCAGGUCGGGAUCUCUUGGGUGCGGAAGGAGCUGCUCAGCCUGCAGGUGACCGACCUGGCGCUUCUCUGGCAACUGGACUCCAUCGCCCAGGAGCUCCAGGACCUGCGGGACCUGCAGCUGGACAUGGAAGAGUUCUUUGCAGAACGGGAGCUGCUGGGACCAGCCACCUCCUCCCACUGGCAUCUCUGCCCCUUGAAGCUGAGCGCUGGGAUGGAGGGGAAGGCCUUAUAAACCAAGCGGGUGAAAGAGCUGAUUGGCUAGAUGACCUGUCAAUAGUCUAGAUGCAGGGGAGGGACUUCCUUUCUCUGCAAAGGGUUCUGGGUAGGGAAGCCCUUUAUAUAACCCCUGCUGGGCCUGCCUGGGGAGUGGGCAUUGCUGGGCUGGACAGGACCUGUAGGAUGGAAGGUCCUGGGCCUGUUAUGUGCUAUCCGGGGACUUUGGAUGGGUGGGAUGAGACGGAGAAGGAGCCCGUCGUGUUCUUUGGUUUGGGGUUUUGAUCCCUCCCCCACCGCCGCCACUUUAAAAUAAAAUGUGUUCGGCCUUUUCCUUUCUUCUUGCC
rnacentral:lncRNA from 1 species